rnacentral:rRNA from 1 species
UACGAACUGUGCGAACGUUAUUCGGAAUCACUGGGCUUACAGGGUGCGUAGGCGGCUCAACAAGUCAGGUGUGAAAGCCCCCGGCUCAACCGGGGAACUGCGCUUGAAACUGUUAGGCUCGAGUCAGCUAGAGGUACACGGAACUUCCAGUGGAGCGGUGAAAUGUGUUGAUAUUGGAAGGAACACCGGAGGCGAAAGCGGUGUACUGGGGCUGGUCUGACGCUGAGGCACGAAAGCCAGGGGAGACGAACGGGG